GAGAAAAAGAAGCAUGCAGGGAGCUGGAAUGCUUCAUCCGGGCUCAACGAUGCAAUAAUAAUGCAAAGCCCAUAAUGGAGACCCAAAAUAGAAACUAUAGGGUGUUGGUAUGUCCAAUUUAGCAUUGUAGCAUAAGGUAAUUACUGUGAUCCAAAAUGGGGGAAGGCAAAACCAAUAUUGAGGCAGACAAUAGGCCAAAAAUCUUUAGGUAGGUUGAAAAGUUAGUACGCCCAAAAAAAUUAGUGCAACCCGAUAUUGAAUAGGCAUUUUACCCUAAUUCUUGGGCUCAAUUUAUGUAAAAUUUUGGCCCAAUUCACUAUUCAAAACAGGUUGAAUUUUGGCAUAUAUUCCGAGACUAACAAAUUGGAGUUGCAGAAGAUGAUACACGGUUCUCCAACGACUACUCCACUUGGGUCCUUUUUGUUUUGCAUGAAAAACAACGAAAAUUCUUCUCCAAAAGCCAACAGAGAGAUGGGAAUCGAGGAUUUUCACAGUAAACUCCAAUUGUAAAACGAAACCCAUAUUAUCUUUCGUGUUUGGAGCAAUAAUGAAGAGAGAAAAGAGAGGAUGGAAAUUGAAUUGUGUAGGUAAACAGUAAACUGAUGUUGGAAGUAUCUCGAUGAAUUAUGAGUUCCAUUGAUGUUUAUUGGAGUGAUCUUUCUUCAUUUUGGAGUUUGUUCAAAAGGAGAUCAGAAGCAAGAAGAUUGGAUCUGAGAACUGAGUUUUUGAAUUCGGCCCUAUUUUAAUUUGAUAUGUACAUCUUUUUGUCUACGUUGGACUUUGAAAUCAUUCAGAAGGCAGAAAUAUCUCUUUGAGCUUCUUGGUUGAGGAACUGUCUGAAAUUAUUG
rnacentral:lncRNA from 1 species